CCUACGGGUGGCAGCAGUGGGGAAUAUUGGACAAUGGGGGGAACCCUGAUCCAGCCAUGCCGCGUGUGUGAAGAAGGCCCUCGGGUUGUAAAGCACUUUCAGUGAGGAAGAACGCCUGGUGGUUAAUACCCAUCAGGAAAGACAUCACUCACAGAAGAAGCACCGGCUAACUCCGUGCCAGCAGCCGCGGUAAUACGGAGGUUGCGAGCGUUAAUCGGAAUUACUGGGCGUAAAGCGCGCGUAGGUGGCUUGAUAAGCCGGUUGUGAAAGCCCCGGGCUCAACCUGGGAACGGCAUCCGGAACUGUCAAGCUAGAGUGCAGGAGAGGAAGGUAGAAUUCCCGGUGUAGCGGUGAAAUGCGUAGAGAUCGGGAGGAAUACCAGUGGCGAAGGCGGCCUUCUGGACUGACACUGACACUGAGGUGCGAAAGCGUGGGUAGCAAACAGGAUUAGAUACCCCAGUAGUC
rnacentral:rRNA from 1 species